CCUGGUUUCAUUCAGGAGGAGAGGCUCCCAACACUAGGCCCAGGUUCAGAACCUUGUGCUGAUUCAGAGCCUAGAAUAUGUACAGCCUCUCAGCCACAUCCCUCGCCGUGCUGGACAAACAAAGAAGUAGAGAGGAGGCGGGAGCAGAACUGAAGAGUGUAUGGCUCUGCUAAUCCCCGCUGCUUUGAUAAAUCUGAAA
rnacentral:lncRNA from 1 species